UCCUGAGGUUAGCGGCGGACGGGUGAGUAACACGUAGGCAACCUGCCUGUACGACCGGGAUAACUCCGGGAAACCGGAGCUAAUACCGGAUAGGAUGCCGAACCGCAUGGUUCGGCAUGGAAAGGCCUUUGAGCCGCGUACAGAUGGGCCUGCGGCGCAUUAGCUAGUUGGUGGGGUAACGGCCUACCAAGGCGACGAUGCGUAGCCGACCUGAGAGGGUGAACGGCCACACUGGGACUGAGACACGGCCCAGACUCCUACGGGAGGCAGC
rnacentral:rRNA from 1 species